GAGUAAAUAAGAAGCUCAACAGAGUAGCAGUGAAAAAGCGGAAAGAAUAGUUACUGGCGGUCCUCUAACCAUCUAGAGGUACAUGUGAAGUGGAAUGACUCUACACAAAAAACCUUUUUCUCUUUUGAAUAAAACAUUUUGCACACCACUGUCUGAAAAAGAAAGAAAACUUCUUUAAAACUACUUAGAGGUAGAAUAAGGCAAGCAAACGUGCAGACUAUAGGAGUAAAACUCAUGUGUUCCAAUUUUACUAAUGAAAAAGAUAAAAUAGAAAAGAGAAUUUAGGAGUAAAAAGAAUUUAUCAAAUCCUUUUGAAAUUAAGGCGCUAGAGGACGU
rnacentral:rRNA from 1 species